AUUGAACGCUGGCGGCAGGCUUAACACAUGCAAGUCGAGCGGGGUGAUGGUGCUUGCACUAUCACUUAGCGGCGGACGGGUGAGUAAUGCUUAGGAAUCUGCCUAUUAGUGGGGGACAACAUCUCGAAAGGGAUGCUAAUACCGCAUACGUCCUACGGGAGAAAGCAGGGGAUCACUUGUGACCUUGCGCUAAUAGAUGAGCCUACGUCGGAUUAGCUAGUUGGUGGGGUAAAGGCCUACCAAGGCGACGAUCUGUAGCGGGUCUGAGAGGAUGAGCCGCAACACUGGGACUGAGACACGGCCCAGACUCCUACGGGAGGCAGCAGUGGGGAAUAUUGGACAAUGGGGGGAACCCUGAUCCAGCCAUGCCGCGUGUGUGAAGAAGGCCUUAUGGUUGUAAAGCACUUUAAGCGAGGAGGAGGCUCUUUUGGUUAAUACCCAAGAUGAGUGGACGUUACUCGCAGAAUAAGCACCGGCUAACUCUGUGCCAGCAGCCGCCGUAA
rnacentral:rRNA from 1 species